GUAAUGGGAAUUUUGGCCUUCUUUUCCCACAGGCUGCUGCCAUCUUUAACCUGCUGAAGCUCUGCAAAGUUUUUCACCAUAUACUAGUUCACAUCUCAGGCUGCUCAGCAGAUGCUUGUGAUUCUGGAGAUUCAAAUCGCUGGUGAAAGUUUGUUCGUUGUUUCCUCAACUUCUCAGGCGCUUUUCUCCAUAGAAUUAUUUCCUGUUGUUUGAAGUAUCGUCUGUCUUCCUCAUCCACAAGUACUAGAUUUAAGAAGUACCUCACUGAAAAUUUCUUGUUGACAUCUCUCAUUGUAGGAGUUGGGUCAUAGCCUGCUAAGAAUAGUCUAAUAGGAAUCGAUUCACCUUUAACUGGUGCACCAUCC
rnacentral:lncRNA from 1 species